GUGAUUAAAUCGAGCGCUGUCUUCAUUGACCGCUCACCCUCCUCACCAUCCACAUCUACACCUGUGCACUGUUUAGCCUGAGCCGGUUUUCCGGUCCAGGUUAUCAUUUCAUACAACUCUAGUCUUAUGAAUGUAAACGUUUUCAUAACAUAAU
rnacentral:misc_RNA from 1 species